rnacentral:lncRNA from 1 species
GGAAUGUGAAUCGUAGUUCUAUUAAGUGGGAGUUACGAUAAUUGUGAAUGAUUAGUAAAAUUCGUUGAUUACUAAAAAAAUAUUAUAUGUUUAAUACUGUGAAAAAAGUAAUUGUAUUCAUGAUGAAGUGCAUAUGUGAAAACAGUUAUUAAGAGAACAACAUUUGAUGUUUUUAUGAACUAUGAAAAUAAUAAUUCUCUCAUCUGAGAUUUUUAUACAAAAGGAUACAGACCUGAUGCAUGAUGAAUUAUGGAGGUAAAGGCAUUGGGGUUAUCAUUUUAUCACUGAAGAAUGUAAACCUACCUGGAUUUUAUUGGGAAAUUAUUCCGAACGACUGUUAUUACAUUACUUGAAGAUUUCUAAUGAACUGAAAGCAUUUAUUAUUCGUUUUCAAUUCGUAACUACAAUAAAAAAUUGGAAUAUGGAAAAAAAUAAUAUUCAAGCAUGUGAAUUGAAACGAACUGAAGUCAUUAGAAUGAUAAAAGAGAAUACUUAAAAAAAAGAGAAUAUUUUUGUAUGGUAAAUAAUAUUAAAUUAUAAAAUUGUAUUUGUGAAAAUAAACACAAAUCAAUGCAUCAUCUUCGUUUUAUCGUCUUACACAAAUCAAUGCAUCAUAUAAGAACAGAUUUUUCUUAUCACAAGGCUUUUAAAAGAACAUCAGAAUUUGAAUAAACGACAAAAUAAAUUUUUUGGAAUGAAAAAUAGCAAUGCAAGCAUAUUUACUGGUAUAAAAAGAACGUUAAACUGUAUAAAAUAUUUCGUAAUUUUUUCGCCUCGGAGAGCUUAUCGAAUUUUAAAAGACUACUGUAUUUGAAUCUGAGCACCGCGAGCAAAAAGAUAUUCUUUCAGUUUGAAAAGCCUUGAUAGUGAAUGUAUUGAAACAUAAAACCGCCUCAAGAUACCAUUCCAUGCGAACAUUUUCUUUAUUCAACAUACGGAGAAAAGGUAUAUUUGAGUAUAAAAGAACAUACUUUACGAACUAUAAUUUUUUAAAAGUAAAAAAAAAUAUUUACGAAAGUAAUUGUUUUGAGCGUUUCUCCAAAGAGUAGAAAACACUUAUAAUUUGUAUUUAUACAGUAAAAGAAGUAAGUGGGAGAAGGUUUUAAGUGGUAUUUUAGUGGAUUUGUGAAUGGUUUUGAGUUUUAAGCGUUGAUAAUGGGAAAUAAAGAUUUUAAAUUCACGCUAUAUUUUACUUGAUAGCUUCUAGAUUUCAAAACUAAAGUGACUGCCGAAUUAAAUUUUAGAAAUUAAU